GAGAUCCUCAAUCUCUCAGCUUAGUUCUCUAAUGUUAAGUCAUAUCGACUCUUAGCAUAGUACUUUAUUUGCCACUGUUCUUUCUACCUUUAUUUUGCCAGAAUUUUCUAUGGGUAAGUUAUUCCAUCUAUAACACUUUAUGAUGUGUAAGCCCACACGAAGGUACCCAGAGCCCAUAUACAAUGUGCUCUUAUUUACCUGUGAGAAGUCCAAGCCAGUAACCCCAAUCUUAACUCAGUGGUGAGAAGGAACUUAAAACUCAGAACAGGACUUGUUUUCAUUCCUUUCUUGUUAGUAUCAUUCACAACUUCUGUAGAAGUUGGGAGUCCAGAAAGCAAAGGGCGGGAUUUUCUCACAUGAUCUUGACCCAUGUUGGGUUUUCUGUCUUCCAUCUCCACCUUUAACAUUUAAUAUACCACAUCUCUCCAAAGGUCAUGCCUAUUCUAGUGUGCUGCACUCAGUGAAGAAGUUGGAGUAAGUGUCAAAAGAGUGAAGGCCAAGCUCUAACUGUGACAGAGAGUUUGAGAUGGAUAAAUGAUGCUUUGAAAAACACGUGACUUUUCGCUGGGACCUCCAUCUCCUGUAAAUAAGCAACAACCUGUUCAAGGAUCAAUGUGCCUCUGAGAUGAGGACAACAAGGUAGAAGGGAGUCCACAGAAGGAAACGGGUCUGAGGUCUAACACCAUAACGCUUCCAAUUCUGUCUUCUAGGCAUCACUAAGAAAUCUAUAUAGUCCUACCUCCCAGAAGAUGAGUGAAGGUGUUACAGUUAGGAUGACUGUUGACAUGAGGCUCUCAGAGGUUCACCACAAAUCGGAAGGACAAGAUUGAGAUUGCCAUUCUUAUGGUCUUUCCAUAGUCUCCCCUUGCAAUUAGAAUUGACCAUCACUGUGGACCUCAUCUAUUAGAUGAAGGAUGUCUAGAAAGCCUCUGGACAGGCAGCAUGGCAGAAAUCAACUCUUUCCAAAAAAUAAAAAAGGCUGCUGCUGACACAGUGGAUAGAGCACACACAAGCUCCCUGUCUGACACCUUCAGCUCUUGCAUAUCCCCUUGGCUAACAUUUCAGAGCUUCUGAUUCUUCAGACAUCAGCUUCUUGAUACUGAAGAGAUUGUUCUACCUGAUGAGCCCAGGCCUAGAAGAUGGACUACAUCCAAGAAGCCUGGCCAAUCUAAGGCCAAGUCACAUCUUUAAGUAAUAUUUGAAAGCAUUUGUGCACAGGAUAAAGGUGCAAGGACCAAAGUCUCCUUAGACAUUCCAGCCUACAAAGGGUCUGACAGACUCAGGUCAAAGGUUACGUCUGAAGCCUAGAUCAUGAAGAAGGCCCCACUCCACAGGAGAAGCCUGUGGCUGAUACUAUUGCAACUAGGACUAUGAUUGUGAAACUUGUGUCUGUGGAUAGCAGAUUCACGAAUCUUGUGCCCAGGUAUCCACAGGCCUUUUUUCAUACAUUCCUUGGUAUAACUUUGCAAGUCCUGACUUUGGAAGUGUUGGGUCCUUAUGCUAUCUCACUUGACAUAUAGUCCAAGAAAGAUUUUUACCCCUUUAAGGGGCUGGAAAUAGACUGGACUCACAGUUACCAUUAAAACUGAAGUUCUG
ensembl:lncRNA